rnacentral:rRNA from 1 species
GUUAUAUGCUUGUCUCAAAGAUUAAGCCAUGCAUGUGUCAGUACCAGCCCAAAGUAAGGUGAAACCGCGAAUGGCUCAUUAAAUCAGCUAUGAUUCAUUGGAUCUGUAUCCACCCGGUUACAUGGAUAACUGUGGUAAUUCUAGAGCUAAUACAUGCCUCCAGAGUCCCUGUCCUCGAAGGUAGCAAUGCCGACGAGGUGAGGGCGCUUUUAUUAGUUCACAAAACCAAUUGUCGGAUCUCGGUCCGUCAACUAACCUUGUGAUGACUCUGAAUAACUUUUUGCUGAGCGCAAGGCCUAUUAUACAGUGCCGGCGCCGCAUCUUUCAAGUGUCUGCCUUAUCAGCUGACGAUUGUAGGUGAAAUGCCUACAAUGGCUAUAACGGGUAACGGGGAAUCAGGGUUCGAUUCCGGAGAGGGAGCCUGAGAAACGGCUACCACAUCCAAGGAAGGCAGCAGGCACGCAAAUUACCCACUCCCAGCACGGGGAGGUAGUGACGAAAAAUAACAAUGUGAGACUCAUCCGAGGCCUCGCAAUUGGAAUGAGUACACUUUAAAUCCUUUAACGAGUACCAAUUGGAGGGCAAGUCUGGUGCCAGCAGCCGCGGUAAUUCCAGCUCCAAUAGCAUAUAUUAAUGUUGUUGCGGUUAAAAAGCUCGUAGUUGGAUCUGAGAUGCAGGGCGACCGUAUUGCUGCACGGCGGCGAUACAGUGUCGUCUCCUGUAGUGCCCCUCCUUCUCGAUAUACUGAGGGGAGUCUGGGCCCAGCCGGCUCGCACGGGAUUCCCUUUAUCGGUUGUCCCGAGUGGCUGGUGAGUUUACUUUGAAAAAAUUAGAGUGCUCAAAGCAGGCAGUAUAUUAAGCCUGAAUGGUGAUGCAUGGAAUAAUGGAAUAGGACCUUGGUUCUAUUUUGUUGGUUUUAACUGAACCCAAGGUAAUGACUAAGAGAGACAGUCGGGGGCAUUUGUACUGUGACGCUAGAGGUGAAAUUCUUGGACCGUCACAAGACAAACAACUGCGAAAGCAUUUGCCAAGGAUGUUUUCAUUAAUCAAGAACGAAAGUUAGAGGUUCGAAGGCGAUCAGAUACCGCCCUAGUUCUAACCAUAAACGAUGCCAACCAGCAAUCCGCCGGGGUUAUUCCCAUGACCCGGCGGGCAGCUUCCGGGAAACCAGAGUCUUUGGGUUCCGGGGGAAGUAUGGUUGCAAAGCUGAAACUUAAAGGAAUUGACGGAAGGGCACCACCAGGAGUGGAGCCUGCGGCUUAAUUUGACUCAACACGGGAAACCUCACCAGGCCCAGACACUGGAAGGAUUGACAGAUUGAGAGCUCUUUCUCGAUUCAGUGGGUGGUGGUGCAUGGCCGUUCUUAGUUGGUGGAGUGAUUUGUCUGGUUAAUUCCGAUAACGAACGAGACUCUAGCCUACUAACUAGUCGACGGAUCUCUCGUCGCCUGUCACUCUGUGUGUUUUCCGUCUGUCUGUCUCCCUCCCUCCUGCCUUUCCUUCGGGGGGGUGUGGAGGGUUGUAGCAGCGGCGGUAAUAUCAUCAUCAGUAGUAGUCGGUGCUGUCGAUGUCCAGUCGCACUUUCUUCUUAGAGGGAUAAGCAGCAAAUACUAGCUGCAUGAGAUUGAGCAAUAACAGGUCUGUGAUGCCCUUAGAUGUUCUGGGCCGCACGCGCGCUACACUGAAGGGAACAGCGUGUUUUCCCUCUCCGAGAGGAGAGGGUAAUCCGUUGAAAACCCUUCUUGAUAGGGAUUGGGGCUUGCAAUUGUUUCCCAUGAACGAGGAAUUCCCAGUAAGCGCAAGUCAAUAUCUUGCGUUGACUAAGUCCCUGCCCUUUGUACACACCGCCCGUCGCUACUACCGAUUG